rnacentral:tRNA from 1 species
GCGGGCGUAGUUCAGUGGUAGAAUCCCAGCUUCCCAAGCUGGUUGUCGACGGUUCGAAUCCGUUCGCCCGCUCCA